rnacentral:rRNA from 1 species
UCAGCAGCCGCGGUAAUACGGAAGGUUCGGGCGUUAUCCGGAUUUAUUGGGUUUAAAGGGAGCGUAGGCCGUAGAUUAAGCGUGUUGUGAAAUGUAGAUGCUCAACAUCUGACUUGCAGCGCGAACUGGUUUACUAGAGUGUGCACAACGUAGGCGGAAUUCGCCGUGUAGCGGUGAAAUGCUUAGAUAUGACGAAGAACUCCGAUUGCGAAGGCAGCUUACGGGAGCACAACUGACGCUGAAGCUCGAAGGUGCGGGUAUCAAACAGGAUUAGAUACCCUGGUAGUCCGCACAGUAAACGCUGGAUGCCCGCUGUUGGUUCAUUAGAGUCAGCGGCCAAGCGAAAGCAUUAAACAUCCCACCUGGGGAGUACGCCGGCAACGGUGAAACUCAAAGGAAUUGACGGGGGCCCGCACAAGCGGAGGAGCAUGUGGUUUAAUUCGAUGAUACGCGAGGAACCUUACCCGGGCUUGAAUUGCAGAGGAAGGAUUCAGAGAUGAAGAGGCCCUUCGGGGCCUCUGUGAAGGUGCUGCAUGGUUGUCGUCAGCUCGUGCCGUGAGGUGUCGGCUUAAGUGCCAUAACGAGCGCAACCCCUCUCUUCAGUUGCCAUCAGGUAAUGCUGGGCACUCUGGAGACACUGCCACCGUAAGGUGUGAGGAAGGUGGGGAUGACGUCAAAUCAGCACGGCCCUUACGUCCGGGGCUACACACGUGUUACAAUGGCCGGUACAGAGGGAUGGUGUAAUGCAAAUUGCAUCAAAUCUUGAAGCCGGUCCCAGUUCGGACUGGGGUCUGCAACCCGACCCCACGAAGCUGGAUUCGCUAGUAAUCGCGCAUCAGCCAUGGCGCGGUGAAUACGUUCCCGGGCCUUGUACACACCGCCCGUCAAGCCAUGAAAGCCGGGGGUGCCUAAAGUCCGUUACCGCAAGGAUCGGCCUAGGGCAAAACUGGUAAUUGGGGCUAAGUCGUAACAAGGUAGCCGU